UACAGAGGGGGCAAGCGUUGUUCGGAAUUACUGGGCGUAAAGGGUUCGUAGGUGGCCGAUUAAGUCAGACGUGAAAUCCCUCAGCUCAACUGGGGAACUGCGUCUGAUACUGAUUGGCUUGAGUGCAGGAGAGGAACGCGGAAUUCCAGGUGUAGCGGUGAAAUGCGUAGAUAUCUGGAGGAACACCGGUGGCGAAGGCGGCGUUCUGGACUGUAACUGACACUGAGGAAAGAAAGCCAGGGGAGCAAACGGG
rnacentral:rRNA from 1 species